AUGACUAUUUUCAAUCUUGUUAAGAAGCAACAUUUGGUUAUCCUUUGUUAUAAUACUGAGUUCAUUAAUUUAGCCAAUUACAUUUUGAUGUCUUUAGACCAUGAAUUCCUAGUCACGACUCUUGGCCGUCAGCCUCACAGUAAAUACAACAGUUCUAAAGCCUUAGGCUGGAGUGCAAUCGCAUGAUCUCAGCUCACUGCAACCUCUGUCUCCCGGAUUCAAGAAAUUCUACUGCAUCAGCCUCCCUAGCAGCUGAGAUUACAGGCACAUGCCACCACAACCAGCUUUUUUUUUUUUUUAUUUUUAGUAGAGACAGGUUUUGUCAUGUUGGCUAGGCUGGUCUUGAACUCCUGAUCUCAGGUGAUCUGCCCACCUAGACCUCCGAAAAUGUUGGCAUUACAGGUGUCAGUCACUGCGCCCGGCCUCCUGCAGUAUUUUAAAUUACACUUUUUAAUGUACACUAUUGCCAAUUUUAAGACUAAGCAAUUGGUUUGAAACUACU
rnacentral:lncRNA from 1 species